rnacentral:rRNA from 1 species
AAGCGGUGGAGCAUGUGGUUUAAUCGAUGAUACGCGAGGAACCUUACCUGGGCUCAAAUGUAUGUUGACGUAUUCUGAAAGGGAUACUUCUUCGGACAAUAUACAAGGUGCUGCAUGGUUGUCGUCAGCUCGUGCCGUGAGGUGUCGGGUUAAGUCCCAUAACGAGCGCAACCCCUAUCAUUAGUUGCCAUCAGGUCAAGCUGGGGACUCUAAUGAAACUGCCUACGCAAGUAGUGAGGAAGGUGGGGAUGACGUCAAAUCAGCACGGCCCUUACGUCCAGGGCUACACACGUGCUACAAUGGCCGGUACAGAGGGCAGCUACCUGGUGACAGGAUGCAAAUCUCCAAAGUCGGUCUCAGUUCGGAUCGGAGUCUGCAACCCGACUCCGUGAAGUUGGAUUCGCUAGUAAUCGCGCAUCAGCCAUGGCGCGGUGAAUACGUUCCCGGGCCUU